UGACCUCGAAUCAGGUAGGACUACCCGCUGAACUUAAGCAUAUCAAUAAGCGGAGAGAAC
rnacentral:rRNA from 1 species